rfam:Sarcophilus harrisii ctg7180002468786, whole genome shotgun sequence.
ACCAAGACUCUAUUCAGAGUCACCUAGACGAUCUACAAAGUAGUCU